UACGUAGGGAGCGAGCGUUGUCCGGAAUUAUUGGGCGUAAAGAGCGUGUAGGCGGCCCGAUUAGUCCGCUGUGAAAGUCCAGGGCUCAACCCUGGAAUGCCGGUGGAUACUGUCGGGCUAGAGUCCGGAAGGGGCGAGUGGAAUUCCUGGUGUAGCGGUGAAAUGCGCAGAUAUCAGGAGGAACACCGGUGGCGAAGGCGGGUCUCUGGGCCGGUACCGACGCUGAGGAGCGAAAGCGUGGGGAGCAAACAGG
rnacentral:rRNA from 1 species